rnacentral:hammerhead_ribozyme from 1 species
AGCCGAAACACUCCAACUUUGGAGUGUCCACCGUGGGAUGGUCUCCCGGUGCUGAUGAUGGCAGACCGGA